UCACACUAGUGUAGAAUCUGCUAACAUACGAACGUAAACAAAUAUCUUUCUUAAAGUAAUUAAAAAAAAAAAACAAAAUGCCAUUAACUGCAGAAAGUGCGGCACAACAAAUUCAGGAACGACUGAAAGACAUACAACAACACAUACACAAAGUGGACAGUGAACGGCGUCGUGCAGAAACUUCUAUUGCAAAUAUUGUGCGAGCCCAGCAAAGUCAGAUAGCGACUCCGAAAUUGAAGAGUCUGCUGCAGUCAAAGAUCUUGGAGGCCACACAGGAGGAAGCAACGAUAAGAGCAGCGUUGGCUAAAAUCCAUGAAAUACGCAACAUACGGAAUGAACGUCGCAUUCAAGCUAGAAAUGCGGGAAAUAAAGAAGCCAUUCGUCGUGGUGCACUCAUGAAAAUGGUUCAACUGUCGGCGCAAACGUUGCCGCUAUUCGUUAGCAAACCAGGCGAACGAGCUCCGGCUCUUUGCGGAGCAAUUCCAGCUGAGAGUAGCUAUGUAGCCAAAGUAGGCGACAAUGUGGCCGCCUUGGCCAAGGGCAUUGAUGAGGAGGAGAACUGGAUCUUGGCUGAGGUGGUGCAGUUUCUACAUCGCCAGAACAAAUACGAUGUCAUUGACAUUGACGAGGAACAAAAGGAUCGCCAUGUACUAAGCAAACGCAAAGUUAUUCCACUGCCAUUGAUGCGUGCGAAUCCGGAGACCGAUGGUCAUGCACUCUUUCCCAAAGAUACAGUUGUGAUGGCUUUGUACCCACAAACUACGUGUUUCUACAAAGCUAUCGUGAAUCGCCUGCCACAAACAGCUACCGAAGAUUAUGUGCUAUUUGAGGACUCGUCGUAUUUAAAUGGGUAUGCGGAACCGCUGCCUGUAGCCCAAAGAUAUGUCAUUGCAUACAGACCCACCAAGAAAGGUGGCAGCAGCGGCAGUGGAAAUCUCUCAUCAGCUUAAGCAAUAACAACAAAAAAUGGGGAAAAUUAAAAACAUUCAAGUAUCAUCUCACCAAUUGUUCUUUCCUAAAAAUAAAAUUUUGUUGGAACAUACUUGACAACGCCAAUAUCUUCAUUAAAUAAUUAAAAAAAAACGUUAAUGGUACUUUAUAUUUAUUAUUUAGUCAGUGAAUAAUGAAAAUUAAACUUAUCGAUGGUUUCGUUCUGCCAACGCGCUUGAAAAUUAGCACACUGGGUGUAAUUUUAAAAACCUGCCAACCUAAUGUGUUAUCGACUACAUUGUUAUAAAUUUAAAAUGUAAAGUUGAAUAAAUAAAUCAUAUAUAUUUUUAGCAUUUUUAUAAUAGUUGCUCUUAAGAAUUUUAAAUUUAUAUACUGUUUAUAUUCAUCGAUGCAUCGAUAGUGUCACCGAUGCUUCUCGAAUGUUUAUCCACCUCUAGUUCCAGCUCUACCAUUCACUACAGCAAUAGCCGACAGAGAUAACCAGUCACAUACUGUGCGCGACGCUUUGAGCUGUGGAUUCCUCUUACUUUAAUUAAUUUUUCUGCUGUCUAUCUGUAACUGCAACAGAGAAUCGUGCGUGUGUGCAACUAAAUCACAAACACGAAACACAGACACAUUUACAAAUUAUUCUUAGUUUGGUCAAGUAACUAAAACAACAACAAACAGCA